rnacentral:lncRNA from 1 species
CUAACUGCCCACCUGAAGAUUAAACUUUUAUUGUGGAGAAUGACAAAAGAAAAAGAAAAAGAAAAAGUGACUACAGUCAGCCUGAGGACUACAAAGGGUCUGAGAUCGGCUCAGGUUUGGAGGACAGAGGGAACACCCAGUCCAAUUGUGAGGGGAACGAAAACAAGCCACAUAUCAUCCUGUCAUUCAAGCCAGAGCAAAUGAGAGAGAAGAGGUUUUUGAAUGAAACAUUUACUCAAAAUUCAGAAGAUGAACACUCCACUGCAAAAAUGCCUGAUCAGCCAUUUGGAGUGCGUACAUCCUGGGAAGAUUGUGCUGUUGAACAAAUUAAAAACAUUGCUUAUGGGAGCAUCGAAGACUUAAACAAUGACAUCAGUGUACCAAUCAGAAUAAGCAAUUUUGUCCAAUAUGCCAAUGUAAUUGACAUUGUUCAAAAAUUUUGGAGGAAUCAGGAAAAGCAGGAUGUCACCCUUUUAGUUGGUAGAUUCUCAGUACGGUUGCAAGGAAGUGAUCUGUACUGUUGUCCAGUCAAAAAAGAUGAGAAAAAUCUUCAUCUUCAUUACAAAAAUCUUUCUUAUGCAACACUGAAACUAUCGAAAAGAAAUGCUAAAAACUUUUCUGAGACAAUUUGGAACUAUAUCAUGGGGAACCAUGACAAAGUUGAAUCUUAUGUACUGACACCUCAAGAUGCCACUGCAGUAUGUGCUGUUUUGUUCUCAGAAGUUAUUAGGUAUCCUGACAUGUUUUUCCACAACAUUCUUCUGAUGCAUU